rnacentral:rRNA from 1 species
GAUGAACGCUGGCGGCGUGCCUAAUACAUGCAAGUCGAGCGAAGCGGGGACGGGUGAGUAACACGUGGAUAACCUCCUAUAAGACUGGGAUAACUUCGGGAAACCGGAGCUAAACCGCAUACUUAUAGAUGGAUCCGCGCUGCAUUAACUGGUUGGUACGGUAACGGCUUACCAAGGCAACGAUGCAUAGCCGACCUGAGAGGGGGAUCGGCCACACGGGAGAUGAGACAAGGUCCAGCAUCGUAAGGGAGACAGCAGUAGGAAAUCUACCGCAAGGAGCGAAAGCCUGAAGGGGCAACGCCGCGUGAGUGAUGAAGGUUUUCGGAUCGUAAAACUCUGUUGUUAGAGAAGCGGUAUCUAACCAGAAAGCCACGGCUAACUACGUGCCAGCAGCCGCGGUAAUUC